rnacentral:misc_RNA from 1 species
UGUGGUUUCUGUGUCUGCUGUA